rnacentral:rRNA from 1 species
GUACGGGAGGCAGCAGUGGGGAAUAUUGCACAAUGGGCGAAAGCCUGAUGCAGCGACGCCGCGUGAGGGAUGACGGCCUUCGGGUUGUAAACCUCUUUCAGCAGGGAAGAAGCGUGAGUGACGGUACCUGCAGAAGAAGCACCGGCUAACUACGUGCCAGCAGCCGCGGUAAUACGUAGGGUGCAAGCGUUGUCCGGAAUUAUUGGGCGUAAAGAGCUCGUAGGCGGCUUGUUGCGUCGGAUGUGAAAGCCCGGGGCUUAACUCCGGGUCUGCAUUCGAUACGGGCAGGCUAGAGUUCGGUAGGGGAGACUGGAAUUCCUGGUGUAGCGGUGAAAUGCGCAGAUAUCAGGAGGGACACCGGUGGCGAAGGCGGGUCUCUGGGCCGAUACUGACGCUGAGGAGCGAAAGCGUGGGGAGCGAACAGGAUUAGAUACCCCGGUAGUC